rnacentral:rRNA from 1 species
UACGAAGGGGGCUAGCGUUGCUCGGAAUCACUGGGCGUAAAGAGCGCGCAGGCGGUCGUUCAAGUCGCGUGUGAAAGCCCCCGGCUCAACUGGGGAGGGUCACGCGAUACUGAUCGACUCGAAGGCAGGAGAGGGUAGUGGAAUUCCUGGUGUAGUGGUGAAAUGCGUAGAUAUCUGGAGGAACACCGGUGGCGAAGGCGGCAUCCUGGACCAACACUGACGCUGAGGAGCGAAAAGCCAGGGGAGCAAACGGG